GACGAACGCUGGCGGCGUGCUUAACACAUGCAAGUCGAACGAUGAACCGGAGCUUGCUCUGGGGAUUAGUGGCGAACGGGUGAGUAACACGUGGGCAACCUGCCCCAGACACCGGGAUAACCAUUGGAAACGAUGGCUAAUACCGGAUACGACCACUUCGGGCAUCCGAUGGUGGUGGAAAGGAUUCUGGUCUGGGAUGGGCCCGCGGCCUAUCAGCUUGUUGGGGGGGUAAUGGCCUACCAAGGCGACGACGGGUAGCCGGCCUGAGAGGGCGACCGGCCACACUGGGACUGAGACACGGCCCAGACUCCUACGGGAGGCAGCAGUGGGGAAUAUUGCUCAAUGGGCGAAAGCCUGACGCAGCGACGCCGCGUGAGGGACGAAGGUCUUCGGAUUGUAAACCUCUUUCAGCAGGGAUGAAGCGAAAGUGACAGUACCUGCAGAAGAAGCACCGGCUAACUACGUGCCAGCAGCCGCCGUAACAC
rnacentral:rRNA from 1 species